rnacentral:tRNA from 3 species
GGACCAUUAGCUCAGCUGGUAGAGCACCUGACUCUUAAUCAGGGUGUCCGGGGUUCGAAACCCUGAUGGUCCA